rnacentral:rRNA from 1 species
UGACCGCGUAUAGAAGUACGUUUUCACCCUCGGGUGACAGGGAGACAGGUGGUGCAUGGUUGUCGUCAGCUCGUGUCGUGAGAUGUUGGGUUAAGUCCCGCAACGAGCGCAACCCCUACGUUUAGUUGCUAACGCGUGAAGGCGAGCACUCUAGACGAACUGCCGUUGACAAAACGGAGGAAGGUGGGAUGACGUCAAAUCAUCAUGCCCCUUAUGUUCUGGGCUACACACGUGCUACAAUGGCCGGUACAGACGGACGCAAAGCCGCGAGGUGGAGCAAAUCCUAAAAAGCCGGUCUCAGUUCGGAUUGCAGGCUGCAAUUCGCCUGCAUGAAGUCGGAAUCGCUAGUAAUCGCAGGUCAGCAUACUGCGGUGAAUACGUUCCCGGGCCUU